rnacentral:lncRNA from 1 species
AGCCAUCCCGCGAUGCAUAUCUCUUCAUCUCAACUAAACUCCCAGCUCCCGAAUCUAACCUUCCAUUAUCCACGGAACAGAGCAAAGUCCAGCUCAUCUCCUCCACGUUGAUUCUCCCAUAUCCAGCUUCUCCUCCACGUUCUGGAUUAGAUCACCAUCUCCCAGCAUUCCGAAUCACCUCCCCUGUUCUGCGUCCAAGCCAGGCAUUCCAUCCGCGUGUCUUCUCUCCCGUCCGCGAUUCAAGGAUGAUCUCCCAGCCAUUUCCUUCUUUCCAUGAGCCAAUCCAUAUCUUUUCCAACUCAUCCCGUUGAGAUCUUCUUCAGCCCGGAUUAGCUCCAAUUCCAGCGGUCUGCAAGGUGUCCACGAGUCCCAACUUCUUCCCGUUCGCAUUCGGAUAGGCCAUCCUUUUCUUCCGGCUUUGAUUCUCCUAGAUUGCCUACUCCAGAUCGAACCCAGCCUUCAUCCCGUCCGCAAUGAACUCCCGUCAUCCACAGGAUAAGGCCCAGGUGUUCAUUCCGGAUCAGCCCCUGCAUCCCAGCCUCAAAACAGAGUCAUCUCCCUUGCUUCCAUGAUUACUCCCAACUUAUCCUCCCAACCGAAUCCUCAAGUUCUUUUCUCAGGCGGGAUAAGCCUUCCGAAACGCCCAG